rnacentral:lncRNA from 1 species
AACACAUCUGACUGAUGACACUCUGCAGUCUGUCAGCUCAUGCCCUUAUCUCUUCGGCUCAAAUAGGCAGAGGCGUGGUUGGGGAUCUGGCGAGAUGCAAGAUCUCAGCAUGACAGACAGCCCAAGGCUCAUGCACCCAGGUCGGUCCUUGCGGAUCCCCCUGCUGUCAGAGAGAUGCUCAAGCAGGAGAUACGUCUGCUUCUGCUUAACAUCCAAGAGAAGGCGUCUGAACAGGGGAGGGAUGGAAACAAAGCCCUGUUGCGCUACAGCCCUGACGUCGUGAGCUACAUACUGGGCACCAGCACUUCAAGCCAUGAGCUGCAGGGACCGAGGAGUGCAAGGAGUCAUGAUGGCAGACAGCAACUACCCAGCAGGCCCCAGAGUGCCAACAGCAGUGAGGAAGUGCGGUCAGUCCCAGUGCCAUUGGGCGCGCUUUCAACACCUAAAUAAUCAUUUCAAGAUAACAU